GUGCUCGCUUUGGCAGCACCUACACUAAAAUUGGAACGAUACAGAGAAGAUUAGCAUGGCCCCUGCACAAGGAUGACACACAAAUUUGUGAAGCAUUCCAUAUUUUU
rnacentral:snRNA from 1 species